GAAUAUAGUGAAGGCCCUUGCUGCUCAGAUGUAAUGGAAAAUGUUUAGGCCAAAAGAAAAAAAAAAGGAAGAAGAAGAAAAAAGACCACAUUCACGUGUCUAACAUAUUGGGCUUGUACUCAUUAUGACAUCAUUAAAUGCCAAUUAGAGAGUUCUGUUGGUAUUCAGCUUUCUGACUUCAUUUCACAAUAAUUUGUAUUGACAGCAUUUUAUGGCUGCUAUAUACUUUGCUAGCACCAAGACCGGUGGAUUCUGAUCCAGAAAAAUGUGAUGCUUUAACAAGCCAUUCCCAACAGCGAAUUCUUGGAGAGGAACAAUGCCAUUCUCUUAGGGAACCAAAUGUGGAUGGUACUAACAGGUAAAUUUCUUAAUUUAUAAAUAUGACUAAAAUGUUAACACAUUUUCUGAAACUGAUACAU
rnacentral:lncRNA from 1 species